rnacentral:ncRNA from 1 species
AAAUUACCCAAUCCCGACUCGGGGAGGUAGUGACAAGAAAUAACAAUGCCGGUCCCAUCGAGGUCCGGCAAUUGGAAUGAGAACAAUCCAAACCCCUUAACGAGGAACAAUUGGAGGGCAAGUCUGGUGCCAGCAGCCGCGGUAAUUCCAGCUCCAAUAGUGUAUGCUAAAGCUGCUGCAGUUGAAGCGCUCGUAGUUGUACGUCGGGGCCCGGGCUCCGUCCUCCCUCGCGGAUGGGCGCCCCGCUCGGUCGUCGCGGUCCGCCGAGAGGCGAGCACUGCGCGGCGGCCCCCGUCUCUCUCGGGAGCCCCGGCUGCUCUUGACUGAGCGGUCGGGGGUUUCGGGACGUUUACUUUGAACAAAUUAGAGUGUUCCAAGCAGGCCGGUCGCUUUGAAUACGUUAGCAUGGAAUAAUGGAAUAGGGCCGCUCGUCCUAUUUUGUUGGUUUUCGGGACGGCAGUCAUGGUCGAUAGGGACAGUUGGGGGCAUUCGUAUUCAGUUGUCAGAGGUGAAAUUCUCGGAUUUGCGGAAGACGAGCGACUGCGAAAGCAUUUGCCAAGGAUGUUUUCAUUAAUCAAGAACGAAAGUUGGGGGUUCGAAGACGAUCAGAUACCGUCGUAGUCCCAACCGUAAACGAUGCCGGCCGGGGAUCGGCGGACGUCGGGUACGACUCCGUCGGCACCCGUGGAGAAAUCCCGAGCCUCUGGGUUCCGGGGGGAGUAUGGUCGCAAGGCUGAAACUUAAAGGAAUUGACGGAAGGGCACCACCAGGAGUGGAGCCUGCGGCUUAAUUUGACUCAACACGGGGAACCUCACCAGGUCCGGACAUGGGAAGGAUGACAGAUCGAG